rnacentral:rRNA from 1 species
GGUGAACGCUGGCGGUAGGCCUAACACAUGCAAGUCGAACGGCAGCACAGGAGAGCUUGCUCUCUGGGUGGCGAGUGGCGGACGGGUGAGGAAUACAUCGGAAUCUACUUUUUCGUGGGGGAUAACGUAGGGAAACUUACGCUAAUACCGCAUACGACCUACGGGUGAAAGCAGGGGACCUUCGGGCCUUGCGCGAUUGAAUGAGCCGAUGUCGGAUUAGCUAGUUGGCGGGGUAAAGGCCCACCAAGGCGACGAUCCGUAGCUGGUCUGAGAGGAUGAUCAGCCACACUGGAACUGAGACACGGGCCAGACUCCUACGGGAGGCAGCAGUGGGGAAUAUUGGACAAUGGGCGCAAGCCUGAUCCAGCCAUACCGCGUGGGUGAAGAAGGCCUUCGGGUUGUAAAGCCCUUUUGUUGGGAAAGAAAUCCAGCUGGCUAAUACCCGGUUGGGAUGACGGUACCCAAAGAAUAAGCACCGGCUAACUUCGUGCCAGCCGCCGCAGUAA